AACAUCAAAAUAAAUCCCCAACCUCAAUCAAUAUGAAGAAUCCUAAAUCCCUUCUCUUCCUCUUCCUCUUCCUCUUCUUCCCUUCUGACUCGCUUCAAAACGUAAACACUGAAGACCAGCAACCACAUCCUUAUUGGCUUAAGAUGAAGGCUCUUUUCAAUCAUGCCACCUCCUACCUCUUCCCUCCCAACUUAGAUUUCAGGGGAAGAAUUAGCAAUGAUGAACCUGUCAUAGAAAGUGAAGGUGGAAGUGGGAGCAAGGUUAAAGAAGCCGUGGCCAAGAGUCUAGAUAAAGGAACGGCUACCGUUGAGGAAUCAGCCAAAUCCGCUGCUGAAAAGAUGCACCAGACUGCACAAAAGCUCAAGAACGCUUUCUCAUCCCAUCAUCAUCAACCCCCCCAAGAGCUCUGACCAUAUCCACCUUUUUUGUGCUGUUCCUAAAUCCUAAAUCCUAAAUAGCAUGUCCUCCUAUUUCAAGUUUUUAUAUAAUCUUUGAUAGCUUCUUUCUGUCAUUCAUCUGUUUCCACAUAAACAAGCAUCAACAACGAAAGGAAUUAAUGAUUUGAGAUGCUGCUGUCAAACAAGUAGGUGUGUGUUCUCCAUUCGACAAUACAAAACAAAAAGAGAUUGAUUUAUUUGGGGAAGUUCCUUAUAAAGAUCCACCGUUGAAAACCAAACUAGAAACAAUGGAAAAAGCGGACUUCAAUCGUCCUCAUUUCUGACACUGCCAAUACCAAGCGCCACUGCAAUCACAACAAGAUACUGUUAAUAUACUCUUUUUCUUUCAUCAACACAACACAACAAGCAAACA